AACGAACGCUGGCGGCAUGCCUAACACAUGCAAGUCGAACGAGACCUUCGGGUCUAGUGGCGCACGGGUGCGUAACGCGUGGGAACCUACCCUUGGGUUCGGAAUAACAGUUAGAAAUGACUGCUAAUACCGGAUGAGGACGUAAGUCCAAAGAUUUAUCGCCCAAGGAUGAGCCCGCGUAAGAUUAGCUUGUGGGUGGGGUAAUGGCCUACCAAGGCGAGGAUCUUUAGCUGGUCUGAGAGGAUGAUCAGCCACACUGGGACUGAGACACGGCCCAGACUCCUACGGGAGGCAGCAGUGGGGAAUAUUGGACAAUGGGCGAAAGCCUGAUCCAGCAAUGCCGCGUGAGUGAUGAAGGCCUUAGGGUUGUAAAGCUCUUUUACCAGGGAUGAUAAUGACAGUACCUGGAGAAUAAGCUCCGGCUAACUCCGUGCCAGCCGCCGCCGUAA
rnacentral:rRNA from 1 species